UACAGAGGGUGCAAACGUUGUUCGGAAUUACUGGGCGUAAAGCGUGUGUAGGCGGCCGCGCAAGUCGGAUGUGAAAGCCCUGGGCUCAACUCAGGAAGUGCACCCGAUACUGCGUGGCUCGAGUACCGGAGAGGUUGGUGGAAUUCUCGGUGUAGAGGUGAAAUUCGUAGAUAUCGAGAGGAACACCUGUGGCGAAGGCGGCCAACUGGACGAGUACUGACGCUGAGACACGAAAGCGUGGGGAGCAAACAGG
rnacentral:rRNA from 1 species